ACGAACGCUGGCGGCGUGCUUAACACAUGCAAGUCGAACGAUGAACUUGGAGCUUGUUCUGGGGGAUUAGUGGCGAACGGGUGAGUAACACGUGAGUAACCUGCCCUGGACUCUGGGAUAAGCGUUGGAAACGACGUCUAAUACCGGAUAGGACCUCGAACCGCAUGGUUUGGGGUGGAAAGUUUUUUCGGUCCGGGAUGGACUCGCGGCCUAUCAGCUUGUUGGUGAGGUAAUGGCUCACCAAGGCGUCGACGGGUAGCCGGCCUGAGAGGGUGACCGGCCACACUGGGACUGAGACACGGCCCAGACUCCUACGGGAGGCAGCAGUGGGGAAUAUUGCACAAUGGGCGCAAGCCUGAUGCAGCAACGCCGCGUGCGGGAUGACGGCCUUCGGGUUGUAAACCGCUUUUAGUAGGGAAGAAGGGCUUCGGCUUGACGGUACCUGCAGAAAAAGGACCGGCUAACUACGU
rnacentral:rRNA from 1 species